CGAUGGAGGCUCCGCGCCUGGCGCACACCAUGAGCAGCCCCACUAGCCCCUGCGAGGAGGUGAUCAAGAACCUGACCCUGGAGGCGAUUCAGCUCUGCGAUAGGGACGGGAAUAAAUCACAAGAUAGUGGGAUUGCAGAGAUGGAGGAACUUCCAGUCCCACACAACAUCAAAAUAAGUAACAUCACAUGUGAUUCCUUCAAGAUUUCUUGGGACAUGGAUUCUAAAUCCAAGGACCGCAUUACUCAUUACUUCAUCGAUCUCAACAAGAAAGAAAACAAGAAUUCCAACAAAUUUAAACACAAGGAUGUACCCACUAAAUUGGUGGCCAAAGCUGUUCCUUUGCCUAUGACAGUCCGCGGGCACUGGUUUUUGAGCCCAAGAACAGAAUACACAGUAGCAGUGCAGACAGCAUCAAAGCAAGUUGAUGGCGAUUAUGUUGUUUCUGAGUGGAGUGAAAUCAUUGAGUUUUGCACAGCAGAUUAUUCAAAAGUUCACCUAACACAGCUAUUGGAAAAAGCUGAAGUGAUUGCAGGCCGUAUGCUUAAACUGUCUGUUUUUUACCGGAAUCAGCACAAAGAAUACUUUGAUUAUAUCAGAGAGCAUCAUGGGAAUGCUAUGCAGCCCUCUGUUAAGGAUAACAGUGGCAGCCACGGCUCUCCGAUCAGUGGGAAGCUGGAAGGCAUCUUCUUUAGCUGCAACACUGAGUUUAACACCGGGAAGCCACCACAAGAUUCACCCUAUGGAAGAUACAGGUUUGAGAUUGCAGCUGAAAAACUCUUCAACCCAAAUACUAACUUGUACUUUGGAGACUUCUACUGCAUGUACACAGCCUACCACUACGUCAUUCUCGUUAUCGCCCCCGUUGGAUCACCAGGAGACGAAUUCUGUAAGCAGCGCCUCCCUCAACUAAAUAUAAAAGAUAAUAAAUUUCUGACCUGCGAUGAAGAAGACGGUGUCAUGGUUUACCAUCAUGCCCAGGAUGUUAUUUUGGAAGUAAUUUACACUGAUCCUGUGGAUCUCUCCCUCGGCACAGUUGCGGAAAUUACUGGUCACCAACUAAUGAGCUUGUCUACUGCAAAUGCAAAGAAAGAUCCCAGCUGCAAGACCUGCAACAUCAGUGUUGGACGUUAAAACUUCCCUCGUUACUUAGGAGCCUUCAAACCUCUGUUGCCCAUUUCCAUAGUCAGACAUUUUUGUCAGAAGCAUGCACAUGCCGCUGUCACCAAAAGCAAACACGAGUCUUCAAAAUCUCCGAUAGCGUUUUUAGUAUUUCUUCUCUCCCCCUUUCCCUUCUGUUCCCCCGAUGCUUUAAAUGAUUAGAAGUCCUGGAUUUCUUUCUGGCAACCAUUUAUACCUAGAUGCUGCAAAAAUUGUUUUCUGUUUCUUGCCAAACGUAACAAAAUCCUAUAUAAACUGCUUUAGCAAAAUAAAAAUAACAGCUUGUAAAUGGUGUUUAAAUAUGCAUUCAUUUUAACUACUGAACAAAUACUGGGAUAACUCCAAACAGCAUGAAAGGUUGUAAUUGCAGCAUGAUUUAAAUUUCAGAGCCUAGAAAUGUCAGCACUUCCAACGUGUUGUUUGACAGUGUUAUUUAUGUUAUUUAUAUUAGCUAACUGAAAACAGAAACUGUGUCUCGACAUAAUAAAUAUAAUAGAAAAAUAUUUUAUUUGUACUGUUGUAUACAAUAUUAUACAAUCAUAUAGAAUAUAUAGGUUACAUUUUAAUAUCAAUUGUAUACAUAUGUCAUGAAAUCAUUUUCCCUUAUCAAAGAUGUUAUUUGUAAACUUCAAAUAGCUCUGUAUCUGUUCCUGUUGCUCUAGAUGACUUUAAUUAAAACAGAUUUACGAAGGAGACCAUUUCUGAUUCAUAAAAGUUAAGUUAUAAAUUAUUAAGUCAGUACACUGAAACAACAAACCUCUGAGAAAUAAAAAAUUCCUUUUUUAGUGU